CCUGUUAUUAUCUCCAGUCACAAAGGCUGUCGACGGGAAAUAAUACAGUCUUUCCUCCGACUUCAUAUAUAUAGGUCACGUGUGUGAUCCGAAGACAACAGACCAUUCUACUGGAUGUCUCAAAUGAAAGAAAUGAUAAAAAUUUAUGAACGAUCUAAAAGGAUGUGUUUAUCAAAACAGGAAUAAACGUGUAAGGAUGGAAAAAAACCAAGGGACUGUUUUGAAAUGAUUUCAUGACAGCCAUUCUGCUUCUACCUGUUGCUGCGGAUGAAGUAGAUAACGUCUGCUUGAUAGCCAUUAGCCUGGCAGUGGUAAAAACCGGCUGGACGUCAAAAGUCAUCCAAGUGAUAUUUCUAGCCUUAGAUAUUUCAUGAUUCUUCUGCCCGAAAAAGAAUAAACCUUUCACGAUGAAGACCCUGCGGGACACAAUUGACGUUCUUCUGCCUGGGCGCCAAAGGUAUGGCUUAUUUCUUUGGAUUCUGGUAAUCGUGGCAAUAGUGGUGAUACGGAUGCUUUACAAUCACUUCCGUCCGCCGGUUUAGGUUAUCCUGUAAUUCGAUCAUCUAUACAAGACUUUUUGGUAGCUACAUGGAAAGGAUGGAGAUUCUUAAUUUGAUAUUGACAGCCGACGAUCCGAAUAACAUGAGACAGUAUCGGAGACUCUCAGUUUCUGUUGUGGCCGUAGCUGUUCCAAUAAUCAUCUGGCGACAGAAACAGCACUGCCGUCAAUUAUCAGUACGUAUCAUAAGUUCAUGCUAGUGCACGCGUGAUAUUAAAAUGACCAUCUCAUUAGCAGUUGGAAGUGUUUUCACAGCAACGACCAGCUGGCUUUCUGCAUCUCCUGAAUAUUUACCCCCCUCAAACCACAACAUUGAUUUGCUAAAGCCAAGACCUUCAUCUCCUCCUACUAUCAUGGAUUCGACAAAAUGACUGGACGAGUGGUGGCCUAUAUGAUGCAUUCAUUUUUAUACUUAAGGGUCAGAAGAAGGCAAAUUCCAUGACUGUCACAUUCCAUUGUGGCAAGUAUGUCGGACAAUGAGGGAAACUGAUUGACUCCAAGUCUGAGAGCAGCGCAAAUACAACAUAGUGAUAUAUGAUUUGUUCAAACAAAGUGUGUUCGCGACAACAUCAGCUGGUUGAUGGUAACGAUUUGUCGAUACUGGGAAGUAUCAGAGGAUGAGAAAUUUCAAUGAAAGAUGAAAGAUUUCCAAUAUAACUACGAAUUUCAAUUUAACAACUAUAGGCUGCGCCGAUUACGCCUGGGAUAUGCGAUGUUCUCACAACACUGAUAUCAAUUCUCCGAUAAACUUUGGAUAUAUCUUCUUGAAAAUGUUUCAACUUAUUUUCCCCCAAAAAGAGUUGAGUACUAGUUUAUCUUUCUUGCGCCUUUCAACUCCAUUACAAACAUGACAAAGGAAGCACUACCGAUAAUAUACAAAGACUGAACCCCAGAAAGCCUAAGAGAUUGUCCUUUAUGUUACAGACAAAUCUUUAGCGAGCUAUUUAACCAAGGCAAGUUCCCUUCUUUGAAGUGCCACUUACACGUGUAAUCUGAUGAAGUUUUUUAAGCCACAAGAACGUACGAAACGCACCAUACCGACAGAAGAUGUGUCUCUUUAUACUAUAUUCGGCAUCAAAGACAAAAAUUUCAAAAACAAAUGGAAUCUUAACAUUGAAUUGUGAGCCAAUACCUUGGCGUACAGGAUUAUCACCAGUUUGCCGCCUGCAACAACGGGGAUGCCUUCAGUGUCUGUUACAAGCAAUAUCUUUCGUAGAUGUAUCACAAGAAUAUAUCGAUAACUGGGCCAUGCUACCCUUCAUUAAAAAAAUGAGAAAAAUGCCCUCAUACCGCACCAUAUUGGACUGGGUUUGAUGUUGAAGAUUUUCCCAAACAACUAUCAUUGCUUAGCAGUGUAAAACAAAUGGCACUUGUUGGCCACAGCAGCCAUUCGCUAGGACGAAUGAACAAGAAUUAUUCCAUUGCGAUACAGUUUUCCUCGGUAGUUUAUCAAACCAAACAGAGCUAAUGAGUAUGAAUGUGCUACGUGGGCCAAACGGUAUUGACCAUGCCAAUGGACAUGACCUGGCUUUCGAUGGAGAACCUCAUUUUUGACUCUGUCAAUGACCAUCAAGAGGCUAAGUGCAGAAUGGCCAGUGUAAUGAAAUUGGGGUGAUAUAUCAUGAUAUCCACCUGUUCGAGUUAGUGUUUGAGUUCUGUUACGCGUGGGGAGGACUGCUAAAAUUCAGCUAUUAAUCAAACAUGGCAAGCCAUUUUCAUUCCGAGUUGAUAAAAUGGAUACCGAUUUGGGAAAUACAAACAAGUUAUCGUUUCGCGUGCAGGUCGUAAAGAUGUCGCCAGAAAGGCUAGAAUGUGCAUGCUGGAUCGCGAAAACGACUAGAAUGUUGAUAAAAGGGGUCAAUAACUUAUCCACGACAAUAUAGCUCGACCUGUCAAAUAGCAUUGACUAUUAUCAUUUUCUGAAAGGUAUUGUAAUUAUGAUCUAUGUACAAUUGGUUGCCCACCGGCCAAUCUCAAAACGGUUCCGCUCCAAAUAUCUUGGCCAUUGAAAACCGGGUGGACGCGUGGCUUUGUCUCAAACAGUCGACCGUGAUAUUUUUUUGCUAGGACUAGAAGGGUUGUGCCAACUUCUUUGAUAACAGUUUGAAAGAGAAAAUCUAACUUUUAUGAAAUGAAUACAACAUGUACGGGCCUGAUAGGCCUAUACGCGACCUUGAAUGAGUGUGUGCAUGGAGUGAUUCCUCGCCUUAGAUUAUUCAUGAUUUUUCUGCCAGAAAUGGAAUAAAACUUUUACGAUGAAGACCUCGCGGGACGCGAUUGACGUUCUUCUGCCUGGGCGCCAAAAGUAUGGCUUCUUUCUUUGGAUUCUGGUAAUCGUGGUAAUAGUGGUGAUAUGGACGCUUUACAAUCACUCUCGUCCGCCGGUUAGGGUCAUCCCACUGCAGCCACUGUCGUACAAAGGAACUGUCGGAACACCAAUCUUCGAAGCAAGAGGAGAAGUUGAUGUUGUAAUCAAUCCAUUCAAACGCCCACCUGUACAUUACGACGGAGGCUCGGUCAGCCUAAUAGAAAUUUUACGUGUAGGUGUAGGUGGGAGCAGUGUACCAACUGUUUCGAACCUGGACACGGCCACUGGAAACACUGAGAACAUGAAGCCAAAGUGGUCUGUUUGGCAUCGAAUGAAGGACGCAUUUAAAAAUGUUCAAAUAUAUUUCGCUGGAUCGAAAAAGGAAUCCAAAAGUAAGAAAAGUACCUGAACUGUGCCGAAUUCUCUGUGAUCAUGCUUUAGAGACUGAAGGUGAAUGGAUACAUGUAGGGAUUCUAUUAGACACGUCGGCCACUGCAUUGCGAUGUCACAUCGCUUUGUCGACGAACCAUAGGGACACAGCACACAUUUUAUUUCAGAAUGAGAACUGACUCUAUCCUUUUGUAUAAUGACUUUGGGGGCAAUUCGAAACCUUUCGAUACAUUUGACAUUAUCAAUACAACAUCAUCGUGCAGAUCAAACGCCAACCCAGUCAAUGCUUGGUUGACCAAAAAACCCAAAAACAACACUUUUUAUAAGCAUCGUUCGAAGACGUCAAUAUCCUUAUCAAGUAAUUCGAAUCAUAUAAUUAUUUGAUUAUAUAUUUUUCACAUUCA